rnacentral:rRNA from 1 species
UACGUAGGGUGCGAGCGUUGUCCGGAAUUAUUGGGCGUGAAGGGCUCGUAGGCGGUUUGUCGCGUCGGGAGUGAAAACCAUGGGCUUAACUCAUGGCUUGCUUCCGAUACGGGCAGACUAGAGGCAUGCAGGGGAGAACGGAAUUCCUGGUGUAGCGGUGAAAUGCGCAGAGUAUCAGGAGGAACACCGGUGGCGAAGGCGGUUCUCUGGCAUGUCCUGACGCUGAGGAGCGAAAGUGUGGGAGCGAACAGG